rnacentral:rRNA from 1 species
GACGAACGCUGGCGGCGUGCUUAACACAUGCAAGUCGAACGGAAAGGCCCUGCUUUUGUGGGGUGCUCGAGUGGCGAACGGGUGAGUAACACGUGAGUAACCUGCCCUUGACUUUGGUAUAACUUCAGGAAACUGGGGCUAAUACCGGAUAGGAGCUCCUGCUGCAUGGUGGGGGUUGGAACGUUUCGGCGGUUGGGGAUGGACUCGCGGCUUAUCAGCUUGUUGGUGGGGUAGUGGCUUACCAAGGCUUUGAAGGGUAGCCGGCCUGAGAGGGUGACCGGCCACAUUGGGACUGAGAUACGGCCCAGACUCCUACGGGAGGCAGCAGUGGGGAAUAUUGCACAAUGGGCGGAAGCCUGAUGCAGCAACGCCGCGUGCGGGAUGACGGCCUUCGGGUUGUAAACCGCUUUCGCCUGUGACGAAGCGUGAGUGACGGUAAUGGGUAAAGAAGCACCGGCUAACUACGUG